GACGAACGCUGGCGGCGUGCUUAACACAUGCAAGUCGAACGGAAAGGCCCUGCUUUUGUGGGGUGCUCGAGUGGCGAACGGGUGAGUAACACGUGAGUAACCUGCCCUUGACUUUGGGAUAACUUCAGGGAACUGGGGCUAAUACCGGAUAGGAGCUCCUGCUGCAUGGUGGGGGUUGGAAAGUUUCGGCGGUUGGGGAUGGACUCGCGGCUUAUCAGCUUGUUGGUGGGGUAGUGGCUUACCAAGGCUUUGACGGGUAGCCGGCCUGAGAGGGUGACCGGCCACAUUGGGACUGGGAUACGGCCCAGACUCCUACGGGAGGCAGCAGUGGGGAAUAUUGCACGAGGGGCGGAAGGAUGAUGCAACAACGCCGCGUGCGGGAUGACGGCCUUCGGGUAGGAAACCGCUUUCGCCUGUGACGAAGCGUGAGUGACGGUAAUGGGUAAAGAAGCACCGGCUAACUACGUG
rnacentral:rRNA from 1 species